rnacentral:rRNA from 1 species
UACGGGGGGAGCAAGCGUUGUUCGGAUUUACUGGGCGUAAAGGGCGCGUAGGCGGUCAGCACAAGUCAGUUGUGAAAUCUCCGGGCUUAACUCGGAACGGUCAACUGAUACUGUGCGACUAGAGUGCAGAAGGGGCAACUGGAAUUCUCGGUGUAGCGGUGAAAUGCGUAGAUAUCGAGAGGAACACCUGCGGCGAAGGCGGGUUGCUGGGCCGAUACUGACGCUGAGGAGCGAAAGCGUGGGGAGCGAACAGG